rnacentral:rRNA from 1 species
UACGUAGGGGGCGAGCGUUGUCCGGAUUUAUUGGGCGUAAAGGGCCCGCAGGCGGUCCGCCAAGUUUGGGGUGAAAGCUCCUCGCUUAACGAGGAGAGAGCCGCAAAAACUGGUGGACUUGAGAGCGAGAGAGGGACACGGAACUCCGGGUGUAGAGGUGAAAUUCGUAGAUAUUCGCAAGAACACCAGUGGCGAAGGCGGCUCACUGGCCCGAUACUGACGCUGAGGCACGAAAGCGUGGGGAGCAAACAGG